UCCCCUAGUAACGGCGAGUGAAGAGGGAAGAGCCCAAGAUUGAAAGCUGGCGUCUUCGACGUCCGCAUUGUAAUCUCAAGAAGUGUUUUCCGCUUCGGACCAUGCCUAAGUCCCUUGGAAAAGGGCAUCAUAGAGGGUGAUAAUCCCGUACAUGGCAUGGAGCGCCCGAGGCUUUGUGAUACGCUUUCUAAGAGUCGAGUUGUUUGGGAAUGCAGCUCAAAAUGGGUGGUAAAUGCCAUCUAAGGCUAAAUAUUGGGGAGAGACCGAUAGCGAACAAGUACAGUGAUGGAAAGAUGAAAAGAACUUUGAAAAGAGAGUUAAACAGUACGUGAAAUUGCCAAAAGGGAAGGGUAGGAGGUCAGAGAUGCGUCUUGGGAUUCAGCCUUGCUUUUGCUUGGUGUUUUUCCCAAGUUGCAGGCCAACGUCGGUUUUGGGCACUGGAGAAGGGUGGAAGGAACGUGGCACCUCUCGGGGUGUGUUAUAGCCUUCCACUGGAUACAGCGACCGAGACCGAGGACAGCAGCGUACUCGCAAGAGCGGGCCUUCGGGCACCUUUACGCUUAGGGCGUUGGCAUAAUGGCCCUCUACCACCCGUCUUGAAACACGGGACCA
rnacentral:rRNA from 1 species